CGGACCUGCCCAGAAGCCUGUUCCCAGUCCCUGCCGUUCCCAGUCACUGCCUCCGGGUGGCCGAGGAGGACGAGCUCUUGGUGUCUCGGCUCCACUGACUGCUUUUCUCUCUCCUUCAGAUGCUGAUCGCGUGGACAGCACCACAUUAUUGGGUAAUGCAUGCCAGGACUGUGCAAAGAGGAAGUUAGAAGAGAAUGGAAUUGAAGUUUCCAAAAAACGCACACAAUCAGAUACUGAUGAUGCUGGAGGGUCUUGAAAUCUUUACAGUAAAACCUGCAACUUGAAAACUAGCCUUCUGUAACCACAGUGCCCAAACGAAGAGGAAUGUAUGGAGAACUCCACGUGGAUCUCUGAUUGCGAAACCGUCACAUACACCAAGAGAGCCACAUGGGCAUGUGGCCCUCAAGGCUGGGUGAGAGGGCUCCCCUGUGUGUUGAACUAUGCAGGAGGGUGACGCGGACACAUUUCAGGUGGACUUUGCAAGGACUGAUGGAUAGCUACCUCAGGGACCAGAAUCCGUGGGAAGGGAUGGACCUGGUGUUCCCGUUCCCAUCUGACAGGCUCUCUUUUGUCAAGGUGGUAUUUUUCGUAAUAAAAGGGGAAGAGUAAAGACUGUCCAAGCAACAGUAGUUGCCAAAGAGAAAAUACGAAAUAGACACUUUUUUUUUUUUGAGUCAGAGUCUCACUCUGUCACCCAG
rnacentral:sRNA from 1 species